rnacentral:tRNA from 1 species
GCAAAUAAGCAUCAAAGUUGGUUAGAACGUGGUGUUGAUAACGCCAAGGUUGCAGGUUCGAUCCCUGUAUAGGACAGCUGCA